rnacentral:rRNA from 1 species
UAGCCUUGACAUUGAUAGAAUACACCAGAGAUGGAGUAGUGCCUUUCGGGGAACUUGAAAACAGGUGCUGCACGGCUGUCGUCAGCUCGUGUCGUGAGAUGUUGGGUUAAGUCCCGCAACGAGCGCAACCCUCGUCCUUAGUUGCCAGCACGUUAAGCUGGGAACUCUGAAGAGACUGCCCCGGCUAACGGGGAGGAAGGUGGGGAUGAUGUCAAGUCAGCACGGCCCUUAUGUCCCGGGCUACACACGUGCUACAAUGGCCGGUACAGCGGGUUGCAAAGCCGUGAGGUGGAGCCAAUCCCUUAAAACCGGUCUCAGUUCGGAUUGGAGUCUGCAACUCGACUCCAUGAAGUUGGAAUCGCUAGUAAUCGCGGAUCAGCAAUGCCGCGGUGAAUACGUUCCCGGGCCU